GCUUUGGUAGCUAGCGAGGGCUUUGAGACGGCCGAGAGUUUGAGCGCCAAGGCUCUCUCUCCCCAGGGGACUCUGCAACCUGACUAGGUGCUCCUUCCCUGAGUAACAUUCCAGGGAGCUGCCCGGGGAAGCUUAACGCUCGAUGCGGGUGGUAGGAAUGUAUCAUGGUGGGAGAGUCAUGGCAGCAGGCAGCUGGAACAGGACACUAAGUAAGAACACCUUCAACUACAAGCAGAAGUCAAGGAGAACUGAAAGUGGGUCCCUGAAGUCAGCUCUGGAAAACUGAGAAGAGUGCUGCGUGCAGAAUGCUUCGCUGGAUGUUUUUUUCCUCUAUUCUCACAGACAACUGGAACCUUGAGAGCCAAGGGAGAUUGUGGAGAGGAUGUGAGCAGAUGGCCGCUGAGGAUAGCUGACCGGGUGGGUGGGCUGGAACCUAGGCCAGGACCUGCCACCUGAGGAUUGUGCCUGCGAUGUCCAUAUGAUUGUGAACAGCUAAACAGGGAGCUCUGCUCUGUUGAAAAUCAUAAAGUUGAAAAUGAAAAGAGAUAAAACCUUAAGCACAGAAGAAUAUUUUGUCUUUGGUGAAAAGAACAACUUAAGAUUAAUUUUAUUUUUAUGCUGUAUAUGCGUGUGGGUAUGUGCAUGCAAAUUUGGGUGACUCCAAAGGUCAGAGCAUCAAAUCACUUGGAGCUGGGAUUAUAGGCAAAUGAAAGCUGCCAAGCAUAGGAAUCUAACGAAUGUCCUCUGUAUGAGCAGAGAGUACUCCUUACUGCAGAGCCAUGUUUCCAGCUUAAGGAGGGCUUUUAGAAAGAAGAUUGAUAGAGAAUACAUACUUAAUAGUUUGAUGUACUAAAAAGGUUAAUUUUUAUUCACUAUAGACACUAGAAAUAAUAUUUACAAUUUAUAUAAUGCAUGUGAUUAUAGAACUAGAAGUAACAAUAUUAAAUAUAAAUAAAUUAUUGUAAGUCAGAUAAGAGAGAUGGAAACCCCAGUAGGAAAAACCCAUUAAAGUAACUAAAAUGUGGACAAA
rnacentral:lncRNA from 1 species